UUAUAGUACAUUAAGAUUGUUUUUUCCUUUUUUUGCAGUAUGCCGUGAUUGUGUUGAAGGAAUCUGUUCACAUAUCUUUUGGGUGUACAGAACAGCCCGCGGCCUAUGCUGAGUUGGUCUCCAUUGGGGGCUUGAAUGCUGAUGUUAACAAGAAACUCAGUGCCGCAAUUGCUGAAACACUUGAGACCAAAUUGUCUGUUCCCAAAUCUCGAUUUUUCCUGAAAUUCUAUGAUGCUAAGGUCCUGCAACAAAUUCACCUCUGAUCAGAAGGUAAAUGAUUUUAUAAACAAAGCUCAGAGAUUGUGCAAAAAAUUACAUACAAACCCAUCUCCUUUACACAUUACUGUAGGAAGCUCCUGGAAUUUAGAUUAUUUGCCGCUGACACCCGAGCCACCAUAGCCCCUUCUUUGACAAGAAUAUGACCAUUGAGCCACAACAAAAGCCGCAACGAAGACAUUGAGGCAAACUUUAUCUAUUAUUCAUCUAGUUUUACGGGAGAAUUGUUGAUUGCUCAUGUUUGCCCGCUGAUAGAGUGCAUACUGAUUUGAAGUGGCAUCGGGUCAUGUUGCUAUAUGAAUAAUGAUGAACAUUGGUAUAACUUUGAUGGGUUAGGUUGACAUGAAGACAGUAUUUUCAGAAGAGAGAAUAAGGGUGUACAAGUGAGAGGAGCAGCUAUCGUUUCUUUGGUUGUCCGGGAGUUGAACUUUCUUUUUAUUCUUAUUAAGAUUAGGCUUAAGAGUUAAGAUGGACUGGUUGCAGACUGAGUAUUAAAAAAAAAAAAAAAAAACUUGUCUCAUUUACCGGUUAUCCAAUUUGAGAGGAGCUAUAAUACUUACUAUAAACAUAGUUUCUGUAAUUGUGCCAAAAUCUGGAAAAAAUAGCCUAUUCUUCGA